UACGUAGGGGGCUAGCGUUGUCCGGAUUUAUUGGGCGUAAAGAGCGUGUAGGCGGCCAGGUAGGUCUGGUGUGAAAUCUCGAGGCUCAACUUCGAGCUGUCGGUGGAAACUGUCUGGCUAGAGUCCGGAAGAGGAGAAUGGAAUUCCUGGUGUAGCGGUGAAAUGCGCAGAUAUCAGGAAGAACACCCGUGGCGAAGGCGGUUCUCUGGGACGGUACUGACGCUGAGACGCGAAAGCGUGGGGAGCGAACAGG
rnacentral:rRNA from 1 species